rnacentral:rRNA from 1 species
CCAAUAGCGUAUAUUAAAGUUGUUGCAGUUAAAAAGCUCGUAGUUGAAUUUCGGGGUUAGUAGGUUGGUCAUGCCUCUGGUAUGUACUGGUCUCACUGAUUCCUCCUUCCUGAUGAGCCGUAAUGCCAUUAAUUUGGUGUUGCGGGGAAUUUGGACUGUUACUUUGAAAAAAUUAGAGUGUUUAAAGCAAGCUAACGCUUGAAUACAUUAGCAUGGAAUAAUGAAAUAGGACGUUCGAUCCUAUUUUGUUGGUUUCUAAGAUUGACGUAAUGAUUAAUAGGGAUAGUUGGGGGCAUUAGUAUUCAAUUGUCAGAGGUGAAAUUCUUGGAUUUAUUGAAGACUAACCACUGCGAAAGCAUUUGCCAAGGAUGUUUUCAUUAAUCAAGAACGAAAGUUAGGGGAUCGAAGACGAUCAGAUACCGUCGUAGUCUUAACCAUAAACUAUGCCGACUAGGGAUCGGAUGAUGUUAAUUUUUUAAUGACUCAUUCGGCGCCUUACG